rnacentral:rRNA from 1 species
AGAACUAACAGGAUUCCCUUAGUAACUGCGAGUGAAGAGGGAAGAGCUCAAAUUUGUAAUCUGGCGGUCUUUGGCCGUCCGAGUUGUAAUCUAGAGAAGUGCUACCUGCACUGGACCAUGUACAAGUCUCCUGGAAUGGAGCAUCAUAGAGGGUGAGAAUCCCGUCUUUGACAUGGACUGCCAGAGCUUCAUAGGUGUGCUCUCAAAGAGUCGAGUUGUUUGGGAAUGCAGCUCAAAAUGGGUGGUAAAUGCCAUCUAAAGCUAAAUAUUGGCGAGAGACCGAUAGCGAACAAGUACCGUGAGGGAAAGAUGAAAAGAACUUUGGAAAGAGAGUUAAACAGUACGUGAAAUUGCUGAAAGGGAAACGCUUGAAGUCAGUCGCGUCGGUUGGAAAUCAACCUGCUUUUGCUGGGUGUACUUUCCGUCCGAUGGGUCAGCAUCAAUUUCGAUCGCUGGAUAAGGUUCUUGGGAACGUGGCAUCUUUGGAUGUGUUAUAGCCCUUGGACAUACGCAGCGGUUGGGAUUGAGGAACUCAGCACGGGCCGCAAGGCUUUUUGGGGCUUGUCCACAAUACGUGCUUAGGAUGCUGGCAUAAUGGCUUUAAUCGACCCGUCUUGAAACACGGACCAAGGAGUCUAACAUGCUUGCGAGUGUUUGAGUGGAAAACUCAUGCGCGUAAUGAAAGUGAUAGUUGAGAUCCCCGUCGUGGGGAGCAUCGAUGCCCAGACCAGACCUUUUGUGACGGAUCUGCGGUAGAGCACGUAUGUUGGGACCCGAAAGAUGGUGAACUAUGCCUGAAUAGGGUGAAGCCAGAGGAAACUCUGGUGGAGGCUCGUAGCGAUUCUGACGUGCAAAUCGAUCGUCAAAUUUGGGUAUAGGGGCGAAAGACUAAUCGAACCAUCUAGUAGCUGGUCUG